rnacentral:lncRNA from 1 species
CCAAAACAAAAUAUUGAUCUUUCUAAAUGGUCUCCUAUUUAUUCACAGUGUACGUUUGUAAUAUUCUAAGUUUUACGAGGAUUUUCCAUAAACUGGGCAGGAGGGAUUUAGACGGAGAAGGGACGAUGAUCGUAAAACAAGAUAGAAUUAUUUAAAGAAAAAAUAAAGGUCCCAACUUUACCAACAGUUCGACAUUUUUGAAACUUUGUUCUUGUCUGAUGAAAAUCGAAU